AUUGAACGCUGGCGGCAGGCUUAACACAUGCAAGUCGAGCGGAGUGAUGGUGCUUGCACUAUCACUUAGCGGCGGACGGGUGAGUAAUGCUUAGGAAUCUGCCUAUUAGUGGGGGACAACAUCUCGAAAGGGAUGCUAAUACCGCAUACGUCCUACGGGAGAAAGCAGGGGAUCACUUGUGACCUUGCGCUAAUAGAUGAGCCUAAGUCGGAUUAGCUAGUUGGUGGGGUAAGGGCCUACCAAGGCGACGAUCUGUAGCGGGUCUGAGAGGAUGAUCCGCCACACUGGGACUGGGACACGGCCCAGACUCCUACGGGAGGCAGCAGUGGGGAAUAUUGGACAAUGGGGGGAACCCUGAUCCAGCCAUGCCGCGUGCGUGAAGAAGGCCUUAUGGUUGUAAAGCACUUUAAGCGAGGAGGAGGCUCUUUUGGUUAAUACCCAAGAUGAGUGGACGUUACUCGCAGAAUAAGCACCGGCUAACUCUGUGCCAGCCGCCGCAGUAA
rnacentral:rRNA from 1 species